UACAGGGGGGGCAAGCGUUGUUCGGAAUUACUGGGCGUAAAGGGCUCGUAGGCGGCCAACUAAGUCCGACGUGAAAUCCCAAAGCUUAACUUUGGAACUGCGUCGGAUACUGGAUGGCUUGAAUUCGGGAGAGGGAUGCAGAAUUCCAGGUGUAGCGGUGAAAUGCGUAGAUAUCAAGAGGAACACCUGAGGUGAAGACGGGUUGCUGGGCUGAUACUGACGCUGAAGCGCGAAAGCUAGGGUAGCAAACGGG
rnacentral:rRNA from 1 species